rnacentral:rRNA from 1 species
AGUGAACGCUGGCGGCGUGCUUAACAUAUGCAAGUCGAACGAGAACGGAAUAUAGCUUGCUAUAUUUGUCAGCUAAGUGGCGCACGGGUGAGUAAUAUAUAGAUAACCUGCCCUUAAGAAAGGAAUAAAAGUUGGAAACGAUGGCUAAUGACCUAUAUGCCUAUAAUACACAAGUAAGCAAGGGAAACGCCUUAGUGCUUAAGGAUGUGUCUGUAUGGUCUCAGCUUGUUGUUGAGGUACUGGCUCACCAAGGCUAUGACGCCUAACUGGUUUGAGAGAAUGAUCAGUCACACUUGAACUGAGACACGGUCCAGACUCCUACGGGAGGCAGCAGUGGGGAAUAUUGCACAAUGGACUAAAGUCUGAUGCAGCAACGCCGCGUGGAGGAUUACACAUUUGGGUGCGUAAACUCCUUUUAUGUAGGAAGAUAAUGACGGUACUAUAUGAAUAAGCACCGGCUAACUCCGUGCCAGCAGCCGCCGUAA